rnacentral:tRNA from 1 species
UCCCUGGUGGCUCAGACAGUAAAGAAUCUGCCUGCAAUGCAGAAGACCCGGGUUCCAUCCCUGGGUAGGGAA